AUGGAGGCACCACAUGAGCAAUUAUGUCUAAAGAUGUGUUUCUUGGAUCAACAUCAAUUCAGAGAUGCUUUGUUGAACUUACACAUCACUCAAGGCAGAAACUUCGGAUAUCAUAGGAACUCGGAUCAAAGAAUAAUUGUAGAAUGCAACCAAAAACAUUGCAACUUCUUUAUGGUUGCAGCAGUUAUAAAAGGUAAAACUACUUUUGUAAUUAAGAAGAUGAGAAUUAAGCACACUUGCCAUAUUAGUACAGAGACAACAAGGGUAAGUGCCAAGUGGCUUGCACAGAAGUAUGAGUCACUGUUCAGAUCUGAUCUAACAACUGGCAUUCAGACUUUGAUUGAUGCCUGCAUGGAGAAGUAUGGUGUGGAUGUGCCCAAGUCAAUGGCAUAUAGGGCAAAGAACCUAGGUAUUGAUGUUGUGCUAGGAGACCACAAGAAGCAAUACCCUAGGUUGAAAGACUAUGCUCAGACAGUGAUGGAUACAAACCCUGGGAGUAGAGUAGUUGUCACUACUGUAACUCCAACACCCAAUGCAAAAAUCCCCCAUCCAGGUCCAAGAUUUCAUGCUAUGUUCCAUUGCAUCAAUGGAGCAAGAGAGGGAUUUCUCAAGGGGUGCAGAACAUUCAUUGGUGUUGAUGGGUGCUUCAUUAAGUUAACUACUGGUGCUCAACUACUUGCUGCCACUGGUAGAGAUGGCAACAACAAUAUAUACCCACUAGCAUUUGGUAUUGUUGGGCAAGAGGACAAAGCUAAUUGGUGUUGGUUUCUACACCAACUUAAAAUCUGCCUAGGAGGAGAAGAGGGACAGUUUGGUCCAUAUACAAUCAUGUCAGAUAGGCAAAAGGGCCUACUAUAUGCAGUGAAUGCUGUCUUUCCUAAGUGCAACCAAAGGUUCUGCCUUAGGCAUAUCUAUGCAAACUUCCAAACUGCUGGGUUUAGGGGGGAAGAUCUGAAGAAGUGUAUGGAUAAUGCUGCCUAUGCAUAUAGUGAACACAAAUUUAACAUUGCAAUGAAUGACCUUAGAGCUGAAUAUAAGGAAGCUUGGGAGUGGCUUUGUCAAAUACCCAAGAAAACAUGGGCAAGGCAUGCAUUUGACACAAACUCCAAGACUAACCUUGUAGUCAACAAUUUGUCUGAGGUGUUCAACAAGUAUGUCCUAGAUGUUAGGAAGAAACCAAUUAGGACAAUGUGUGAUGGAAUAAAGGAUAAGCAGAUGAUGAGGUGGCAUAGGAAUAGGGAGAGUGCAAAGACAUCUACAUGGGACAUAACACCCCAUUAUAGUGAGAAGCUAGAGGUUGAGAAGGAGAGGGCCCAAUAUUGCAAACCAAUUCAAGCUGGUGUGGACUUGUGGCAAGUUACAAGUGGGCAGCAAACCCAUGCUGUUAACUUGCAAGUGCACACAUGUGGGUGCAGAAAAUGGGACCUCAGUGGCAUCCCAUGUAACCAUGCCAUCUCAGCAAUAAACAAGGGCAAAAGAAAACCAGAGGAUUAUGUCAGCAAGUUCUUCAAGAAAGAAUUUUAUGUGGCAGCUUAUGAACCAAUGAUCUAUCCAGUUCCUGGUGAGCAUGACUGGACAAGGACCCCUGGUCCUGACAUUGACCCACCUGCAUUUAAAGUGAAGAGAGGAAGAAAGAAAGAGAAAAGGAUCAAGGGGAAAUUUGAAGUUCCAAAGCCUAAGGACACAUCCAGAAUGGGGACUAUAACAUGUGGCAAUUGUGGACUACAAGGACAUAGGUACACUAGCUGCAUGAAGCAGUUGAAGCCUGAGCUGGCUUUGAGGAAGAACACACAUGUGCCUCUUGCAAGGAAUCCCAAUGCUGGUGCUGCUGCUACUACACCAGCAGCAAGAACUUCUCAACCAGCUCCUACAACAACACCAACAACUGGAACAGGAGGUGCUGGGAGAGGUGCUGGGACAGGAGCUGGGAGAGGAGCUGGUAGAGGUGCUGGGAGAGGUGUUGCAGGUGCAGGUGCUGGGAGAGGUGCUGGGAGAGGUGCUGGUAGAGGUGCUGGGAGAGGGAGAGGUACAUUCUCUGCCCCAAGGCAAUCUGGUCCAUCCACAUCUACUGCUGGGACAGGUGCUGGUGUUACACAUAGUGGAUGGAGGAGGUACUUCCAUGCAAGUGGCAACUAG
rnacentral:rRNA from 1 species